rnacentral:rRNA from 1 species
AGGUGCCCGUACCGCAAACCGACACAGGUAGGUAGGAAGAAGAUUCUAAGGCCAACGGGAGAAGGGUUGUUAAGGAACUCGGCAAAUUGACCCCGUAACUUCGGGAGAAGGGGUGCUCCAGAGAUGGAGCCGCAGAGAAUCGGCCCAAGCAACUGUUUACCAAAAACACAGGUUUGUGCUAAAUCGAAAGAUGACGUAUACGAGCUGACGCCUGCCCGGUGCUGGAAGGUUAAGAGGAGAUGUGCAAGCAUUGAAUCGAAGCCCCAGUGAACGGCGGCCGUAACUAUAACGGUCCUAAGGUAGCGAAAUUCCUUGUCAGGUAAGUUCUGACCCGCAUGAAAGGCGUAAUGAUUUGGGCACUGUCUCAACAGCCCGCCCGGCGAAAUUGUAGUACCGGUGAAGAUGCCGGUUACCCGCGACAAGACGGAAAGACCCCAUGGAGCUUUACUGUAGCCUAAUAUUGGGUUUCGAUGUUGCAUGCACAGGAUAGAUGGGACUCUGGGAAACCAAGGCUUUGGCUUUGGCGGAGAGGCCGUUGGGAUACCAUCCUUGCGAUAUUGGAAUUCUAACCUGCGGCUCUGAAUCGAGUCGGGGGACAUUGUUAGGUGGGCAGUUUGACUGGGGCGGUCGCCUCCUAAAGAGUAACGGAGGCGUUCAAAGGUUCGCUCAGCUUGAACGGAAAUCAAGCAAAAGAGUGCAAACGCAGAAGCGAGCCUAACUGCGAGACUGACGGGUCGAGCAGUAACGAAAGUUGGAGUUAGUGAUCCGGUGGUAUGUGAGUGGAAAUGCCAUCGCUCAACGGAUAAAAGUUACCCUGGGGAUAACAGGCUGAUCUCCCCCAAGAGUCCACAUCGACGGGGAGGUUUGGCACCUCGAUGUCGGCUCAUCGCAUCCUGGGGCUGUAUUCGGUCCCAAGGGUUUGGCUGUUCGCCAAUUAAAGCGGUACGCGAGCUGGGUUCAGAACGUCGUGAGACAGUUCGGUCCCUAU